CGCUCGACACCUACGAGGCAGCAGUGGGGAAUAUUGCACAAUGGGGGAAACCCUGAUGCAGCGACGCCGCGUGGAGGAAGAAGGUCUUCGGAUUGUAAACUCCUGUUGUUGGGGAAAAAGAGGAUGGUACCCAACAAGGAAGUGACGGCUAACUACGUGUCAGCAGCCGCGGUAAUCUGAGCGGGCUGGCAAGGC
rnacentral:rRNA from 1 species